rnacentral:rRNA from 1 species
AUUGAACGCUGGCGGCAGGCCUAACACAUGCAAGUCGAACGGUAACAGGAAGAAGCUUGCUUCUUUGCUGACGAGUGGCGGACGGGUGAGUAAUGUCUGGGAAACUGCCUGAUGGAGGGGGAUAACUACUGGAAACGGUAGCUAAUACCGCAUAACGUCGCAAGACCAAAGAGGGGGACCUUCGGGCCUCUUGCCAUCGGAUGUGCCCAGAUGGGAUUAGCUAGUAGGUGGGGUAACGGCUCACCUAGGCGACGAUCCCUAGCUGGUCUGAGAGGAUGACCAGCCACACUGGAACUGAGACACGGUCCAGACUCCUACGGGAGGCAGCAGUGGGGAAUAUUGCACAAUGGGCGAAAGCCUGAUGCAGCCAUGCCGCGUGUAUGAAGAAGGUCUUCGGGUUGUAAAGUACUUUCAGCGGGGAGGAAGGGAGUAAAGUUAAUACCUUUACUCAUUGACGUUACCCGCAGAAGAAGCACCGGCUAACUACGUG